rnacentral:rRNA from 1 species
ACGGAUAUCUCGGCUCUCGCAUCGAUGAAGAACGUAGCGAAAUGCGAUACCUGGUGUGAAUUGCAGAAUCCCGCGAACCAUCGAGUCUUUGAACGCAAGUUGCGCCCGAGGCCUCUUGGCCGAGGGCACGCCUGCCUGGGCGUCACGCCAAACACGCUCUCACCCCACUAACCUGGGGUGGGACGCGGCAUGUGGCUCCUCGUCUCGCAAGGGGCGGUGGGCCGAAGAUCCGGCUGCCGGCGUAUCGUGCCGGACACAGCGCGUGGU